GUGGGGAAUAUUGGACAAUGGGCGAAAGCCUGAUCCAGCCAUGCCGCGUGUGUGAAGAAGGUCUUCGGAUUGUAAAGCACUUUAAGUUGGGAGGAAGGGCAGUAAGUUAAUACCUUGCUGUUUUGACGUUACCGACAGAAUAAGCACCGGCUAACUUCGUGCCAGCAGCCGCGGUAAUACGAAGGGUGCAAGCGUUAAUCGGAAUUACUGGGCGUACAGCGCGCGUAGGUGGUUUUGUAAGUUGGAGGUGAAAUCCCCGGGCUCAACCUGGGAACUGCCUCCAAAACUGCAUGGCUAGAGUACGGUAGAGGGUAGGGGAAUUUCCUGUGUAGCGGUGAAAUGCGUAGAUAUAGGAAGGAACACCAGUGGCGAAGGCGACUACCUGGACUGAUACUGACACUGAGGUGCGAAAGCGUGGGGAGCAAACAGGAUUAGAUACCCUAGUAGUCC
rnacentral:rRNA from 1 species